rnacentral:rRNA from 1 species
GCGGCGAGCGAAAAGGAAGGAGCACAAACCUGUCUAACAUUAAGCACAUAUCAGUAUGAAGUUUACUUUGUAUUAUCGUGUGCUUAAUGUUGGACGGGGGUUGUAGGGUAACAACGUCGAAUUAACGAGAAAAGUCAAAAAAUUGUAUUAUAGAUUAAGUUGUUGGAAACCAACACCAUAGACGGUGAUAGUCCGGUCAUCGAAAUAAUAUGAACUUUUUUGUUGUUAUACCUGAGUAGCUCAGGACAUGUAAAGCUUGAGCGAAUCCACCGGGACUAACCGGUAAGGCUAAAUAUAUUGAGAGAUCGAUAGUGAACAAGUACCGUGAGGGAAAGGUGAAAAGAACCCUGAAAAGGGAGUGAAAUAGAUCCUGAAACCAUAUGCUUACAAGGAGUCGGAGCGGAUAAUUUAUUAUUCCGUCACGGCGUGCCUAUUGAAGAAUGAGCCAACGAGUUUAUUUGUGUUGCUGGCUAAGUGGAAACCCCACGGAGCCUCAGGGAAACCAAGUGUUAAUAGCGCGACAAAUUAAGUAGUACAAAUAAGACCCGAAGCCAGGUGAGCUACCCAUGAGCAGGUUGAAGUUUGUCGAAAGACAAAUGGAGGACCGAACCGGUGAGCCGUACGAUACUCUCGGAUGACUUGUGGGUUGGAGUGAAAAGCUAAUCGAACUUGGUAAUAGCUGGUUCUCUCCGAAAUAGCUUUAGGGCUAGCGUACACUGUACCCUCUGGGGGUAGAGCACUGGAAGAUUUCGACAGGGAGCAAUCUCGCGAAAUCUAUCAAACUCCGAAUACCAGAGACCAAUUAGUGUGCAGUUAGACAGUGGGGGCUAAGCUCCACGUGUCAAAAGGGGAACAGCCCAGAUCUCAGGUUAAGGUCCCUAAAUCAUAGUUAAGUGCAUCUUAAGGAGGUAAUAUUUCUCAGACAAUGAGGAGGUUGGCUUAGAAGCAGCCAUCCUUUAAAGAAAGCGUAACAGCUCACUCAUCAAGAGAUUUUGCACCGAAAAUAAUCGGGGCUAAACUAUGUACCGAAACUGAGGAUUCGUGUUGAUUUAUCAACGACGACUGGUAGGCGAGUAUUCGAUUCUGCUGUGAAGGCAAAGGGGUGACCCAUGCUGGAGCGUUGCGAAGUAAGAAUGUUGGCACAAGUAACCGCAAGGAGGGUGAGACCCCCUCCCGCCGAAAGAUCAAGGUUUCCUUGGCAAUGUCAAUCAGCCAAGGGUUAGUCGGGCCUAAGGGGAUGGCGAAAGCCGAACUCGAUGGACACAUGGUUAAUAUUCCAUGACUUUCUAUAUAUGUGAUGAAGGGACGAAGGGUUGUACCAUUCGCUCAUUAUUGGAUUUGAGUUUAUGUUAUGAGGAUGUGUGGUAGGCAAAUCCGCCACGCGUUAGUCCAAGUAAAGUAUAAAUGCCAGGGUUCGCCUUGGUAGAUGAAUGGGAGCACGCUUCCGAGAAAAUCUUCUAAACUUUGUAUAUAGAAAACCGUACCGCAAACCGACACAGGUGAUCAGGUCGAGUAGACCAAGGCGAACGAGUGAGUGAUCUUCAAGGAACUCGGCAAAAAAGCAGCCGUAAGUUAGCAAUAAGGCUUGCCCAUCGCAAGAUGGGCCGCAGCGAAAGUUUCUCUGGCAACUGUUUAUCAAAAACACAGCUCCCUGCGAACACGUAAGUGGAUGUAUAGGGGGUGACGCCUGACCAAUGCCAGAAGGUCAAAUAACGGUGGUGCGAUUAUAUCAAGCUGGCUGUUAUAAGCCCCCGUCAAUGUCGGCCGUAACUAUAACGGUCCUAAGGUAGCGAAAUACCUUGUCGGGUAAG